UGGGGAAUAUUGGACAAUGGGCGAAAGCCUGAUCCAGCCAUGCCGCGUGUGUGAAGAAGGCCUUUUGGUUGUAAAGCACUUUAAGUGGGGAGGAAAAGCUUGUGGUUAAUACCCAUAAGCCCUGACGUUACCCACAGAAUAAGCACCGGCUAACUCUGUGCCAGCAGCCGCGGUAAUACAGAGGGUGCAAGCGUUAAUCGGAAUUACUGGGCGUAAAGCGCGCGUAGGUGGUUAUUUAAGUCAGAUGUGAAAGCCCCGGGCUUAACCUGGGAACUGCAUUUCAGACUGGAUAACUAGAGUAGGUGAGAGGGGAGUAGAAUUCCAGGUGUAGCGGUGAAAUGCGUAGAGAUCUGGAGGAAUACCGAUGGCGAAGGCAGCUCCCUGGCAUCAUACUGACACUGAGGUGCGAAAGCGUGGGUAGCAAACAGGAUUAGAUACCCUGGUAGUCCACGCCGUAAACGAUGUCUACCAGUCGUUGGGUCUUUUAAAGACUUAGUGACGCAGUUAACGCAAUAAGUAGACCGCCUGGGGAGUACGGCCGCAAGGUUA
rnacentral:rRNA from 1 species